GACGAACGCUGGCGGCGUGCUUAACACAUGCAAGUCGAACGGAAAGGCCCUGCUUUUGUGGGGUGCUCGAGUGGCGAACGGGUGAGUAACACGUGAGUAACCUGCCCUUGACUUUGGGAUAACUUCAGGAAACUGGGGCUAAUACCGGAUAGGAGCUCCUGCUGCAUGGUGGGGGUUGGAAAGUUUCGGCGGUUGGGGAUGGACUCGCGGCUUAUCAGCUUGUUGGUGGGGUAGUGGCUUACCCAGGCUUUGACGGGUAGCCGGCCUGAGAGGGUGACCGGCCACAUUGGGACUGAGAUACGGCCCAGACUCGUACGGGAGGCAGCAGUGGGGAAUAUUGCACAAUGGGCGGAAGCCUGAUGCAGCAACGCCGCGUGCGGGAUGACGGCCUUCGGGUUGUAAACCGCUUUCGCCUGUGACGAAGCGGGAGUGACGGUAAUGGGUAAAGAAGCACCGGCUAACUACGUG
rnacentral:rRNA from 1 species